CCAAUAUUGUCUACAGUAUACAGAUGUAGAGAGAUAGAGAGAUGUAGAUCAUAUUAUAAACUAUUACGCAGUUUUAUCUAAACUCAGUUUUACAGAAACUUCCAACGAUGUGAUCUGAAAUAGUAACCCCCCGCCCCUAAAAAACAUUGGAGGGUUUUCAAGGAAAUGGAAGUUGAAUAUAGAAAAGUGCAUAGUUUUAUAACGUUUGUAAACAAGACAUACUAGAACUCUCAAGGAUGUGAUCUGAUAUUGUAACCCCUAAAAAAACAUUGGAGGAUUUCAAGGAAAUGGAAGGUACGAUUAUGCAGUUGAAUAUAGACAAUGCAUAGUUUUAUUGAUGUUUGUAAGUGGAAGUAUUUUCUAGAAUGUAAACAUAAGAAAUAGUUCAGGGUUUCCAAGAAAACGCAGCAGCAUUGGUAGAAGAAAUUAGAAUACUAGCAUUAUGAAAAUGGUUGGUCUAUGGUGAUAAAGACUUCACAAAGUAAAAUGAAUUGAAGAAUUACAGAUUUGCCGUCAAUUUGGAUCUGAUGGCAGACAAUAAAACAAGAUGACAUCACCAUAUUGUUAUUCUGUGAAGAAGGGGGCCUAUAAAUGAGACUGAAUGGUUGAUGAAGAGUCUCCACAAAGUUAAGUUAAGCUUGUCCAAAACCAAUUUAUUGAUUGAACAAAACUUUAUUAAACGUGACCAAUUUGU